UCCUUUUAGGGGCAAAAACGAGUGCGCCCGAGCCAGGGAGCUCGGCUCUGCACCAGGCGCUCGCCCCGACCCCGUCUUCCUCCGCCGCCUCGCCGCGCCGGCCGGCAUCACCGGAGAUCACCGCCGCCGCGAACAGCGCCGCCAUGGCCGCCCCGAGCUUUGCUGGCAGCCACGCCGCGUGACUCCGGCGGGAUCCGCUCGCCCCUGCCAGGAUCCGCAUCCCCCACUCCACCGCGCCGCAGAUCCGCCCGUCCGCCAGCCUCCCCCCUGCUCGACUCGGGUGGACGGGCGAAGUUUCUGACUUGCCAUUGUAGUUGACCUGAAGCUCCAUUGGUGAGGACCAUUGUCGCUGCUACAGGUUAGGGAGGAGGCUCGAGGCAGCCACAAAUUAUGUCCUGCACUGCUUCAACACCGGCCUAUUCUAGCAUAAUCUUCUGCCGUGAGGAUUUGAUGCAGCAAGGGCCAUUUGUUUGACAGAAAUAGAGUUGUUGCCGCAAGAGAGGUACAAAUCAAGGACCGAGGAGGGAUGAGUGUGAAUUUGAUCUAAGUUGGGUUACUUUCUAUGAAUAGACGAUGCGAUUGCUUUGUUAUUUCGUUUAAUUAAUAGAAAAAUUGAUGAGGCAAUUGGAAGAAUCAAGCAGCAAUUUUACUACAUAUCUGCGCCAUUGAUUUGGUCAUCUCUGUCACUAGCAAGUUGCAUAAGAAAGAGUGUGGCGUUGCAGAGGCGUGUAUAAUUGUGAGUCCCUCAAUUAUAGAGAGGAUCCAGGUGAAAGAUGUAGGUGGUGUGCGGAUUGAACUCUAGAUCAGGAACCUGCAGUACUAGAUGGACGAUAACUAUGCUUACAAUUGUUGACCGAACACUGUGAGGUAUGUGCCUGUCCCUCUUCCACCCAUAUCAACAAGUAAUUUUGGAAGAAGCUAAUUUAGUGUAGCAAGAACAUCAUAUUUUAGAUACAGUCUGCAAAUCAAUGUACUUUGUCCGUCUUUCCUUCACCAAAGCAUGCGUUGUGAGAUCAUGAUUACUACCAGGUACUCCCUCUGUAAACUAAUAUAAGAGCGUUUAGAUCACUAUUUUAGUGAUCUAAAUGCUCUUAUAUUAGUUUACGGAGGGAGUACAACAUUGCAAUUUAUUGUCCAAAAUGUUCCUUGAACACACUCCCAAAUUCCCAACCAUCAGCAAUUAUAGUCUCCUCAAUUCAGAUGCAUAAUUACAUAAUAUUGUUAUACAUGUUGCUUAAGUUGAUCACCAUUAUGCUGUUAAUUGGACCUCAAGAAUAGAUAUGACACCUUACCUUAGGCAGCUCUUUAUUUUGUGGACGUUAAUUCAAUUUUGGAAGUUGAUUCAAGUCUGUUGUGCUUGAAGUAGAUUCAUAGAAGCUACAGUUCUGUUAGUAUGUGAACAAAAAGCUUAUCUUAUAUGUGUGACCGGAGUUGCAGAAUAUGAAUAGGGGAAUGAUCAUAGAUGCCAACACCUACAGUAUGAUUUAUCUUGAUAGAGGUGCAGUGGAUUUGUAAGUAGUUUUAGUGUUUUUUUGUAGAUAGCUCAAGUACUUGAGCUUCUGCAAUCAUGAAAAAAACAAAACAAGGGACCAGUAGUCAGGUUCUAGUACACUGAUGCUUUCUCUGUUAAAAUCUUGACACACAUUAUCAAUCUCAAUAGCUUAAUCGAUUCUAAGCUCACCAGAAGUAUUUGUUCAGAAUUUGGAUCAUCGGUCGCAUAUGCUUAUACCCGAACCCUCUAUAACAUGGUAUUCUUGUGCCAGAUUUUUGCCAUUCGGUAAUAGUUAUAAUUGCAUACUUCGAUCUAGGAGUAAUGGUUGUCCCAGGAUGCGUCUCAUGUCUUACUUUGUGACAGCAGUUGGUUGCAUUUCAGUGACAGUCAAUUCAACCUUGAACAAGCAACUAAAUAGCAGGUCUUCUUUGGUUGGAAUCACCACAUCUCAUCUAUGUUACUGCAAAAGCUUUUCAUUAUUGGACCAAGCUUAUGCGAUAUGCAUUGCAGUCAGUAAGGCUGUACAUUGUGUGGAGGAACUGAAUGUGUAUCCUGUUCAGUGCACAUCGACAAAACUGGAUUCAAAAAAGUAAAAUAUAGCACUUGUGUGGCAUCUAUCAUCGAGCAGCACCCUUACUGUGACGUCUAAAAAGGAAACGGUUUACUGGAUCAGAUGUGGAAGAGGAAAAGAAAUCGGAAGCAAAUCCAUACAACAACUCGACCAGCAGUAAAGUACCCAGCUUUCAGAGAUUGGACACCUAGAUUAGUACACAGAAAAGUUGGACUACUUGAUCGUCUUGAAGGAGGAUGUCUACAUGUACUAAACCAGUAAAUCGUUCAUGGAUAUUUCUUUAUAAUGUCUGCAAUGACUCGUUCGUCGCUAUUUAAAAUUUUGA